CUGACUCAGGGAGGUAGUGACAAAAAAUAACUUAGUCGGGCCGUUUUCGGUCUGACUUUAGGAAUGAGAACAAUUUAAAUCCCUUAUCGAGGAUCAAUUGGAGGGCAAGUCUGGUGCCAGCAGCCGCGGUAAUUCCAGCUCCAAUAGCGUAUAUUAAUGUUGUUGCAGUUAAAAAGCUCGUAGUUGGAUUUCUGGGUUCUUCGCUAGCUUUGGUCCGCAAGGGCUUCAGUGGGCUGUUUGAAUCCAUCCUCAGGGGGACUCAUGCUGGUAUUCAUUUAUCGGUGUAGGAACGCCUGUCGUUUACUGUGAACAAAUUAGAGUGUUCAAAGCAAGGUGUACUUGAAUACAUUAGCAUGGAAUAAUAAGAUAGGACUUUGGUGGUUCUUUCGAGAUAUUUUGUUGGUUUGCACGCCAAAGUAAUGAUUAAUAGGAGCAGUUGGGGGUAUUCGUAUUCAAUUGUCAGAGGUGAAAUUCUUGGAUUUAUAGAAGACGAACUACUGCGAAAGCAUUUACCAA
rnacentral:rRNA from 1 species